rnacentral:rRNA from 1 species
AUUGAACGCUGGCGGCAUGCCUUACACAUGCAAGUCGAACGGCAGCACGGACUUCGGUCUGGUGGCGAGUGGCGAACGGGUGAGUAAUAUAUCGGAACAUACCUUGUAGUGGGGGAUAACUAUCCGAAAGGAUAGCUAAUACCGCAUACGCUCUAAGGAGGAAAGCGGGGGAUCGUAAGACCUCGUGCUAUAAGAGUGGCCGAUAUCUGAUUAGCUAGUUGGUGAGAGAAAGGCUCACCAAGGGGACGCUCAGUAGCUGGUCUGAGAGGACGACCAGCCACACUGGAACUGAGACACGGUCCAGACUCCUACGGGAGGCAGCAGUGGGGAAUUUUGGACAAUGGGCGCAAGCCUGAUCCAGCAAUGCCGCGUGCAGGAAGAAGGCCUUCGGGUUGUAAACUGCUUUUGUCAGGGAAGAAAUCUUCUGGGUUAAUACCUCGGGAGGAUGACGGUACCUGAAGAAUAAGCACCGGCUAACUACGUGCCAGCCGCCGCCGUAACAC